UUAAGUAAGGAAGGGCGUACGGCGAAUGCCUGGCCACUCGAAACUGAAGAAGGACGCGCCAAACUGCGAAAAGCUCCGUGAAGCUGUAAGGAAGCGAAGAAGCGGAGGUGUCCGAAUGGGGGAACCCGGCAGCAGACAUGAGCUGUCAUCUGCAGGUGAAUACAUGGCCUGCAAGAGAGGUACCCGGCGAACUGAAACAUCUAAGUAGCCGGAGGAAAAGAAAACAACAGUGAUUCCCUGAGUAGCGGCGAGCGAAAGGGGAGAAGCCCAAACCGGUCCAAGGACCGGGGUUGAAGGACCAUGAUAUGGCAAGAGAGAGGAUAGAAGAACGGGAUCGAAAGCCCGGCCGAAGAAGGUGCAAGCCCUGUAAUUGAAAUCCAAUUGAAGCCUAAUGGGAUCCUGAGUACGGCGAGACACGAGGAAUCUUGUCGGAAGCAGGCGGGACCAUCCGCCAAGGCUAAAUAUAAACGAGUGAGCGAUAGUGAACCAGUACCGUGAGGGAAAGGUGAAAAGAACCGCGGGAGCGGAGUGAAAGAGAACCUGAAACCGUAUGCCUACAAGAAGUCAGAGCCCGUUAAGGGGUGAUGGCGUGCCUUUUGUAGAAUGAACCGGCGAGUUGCGACAGACUGCGAGGUUAAGGAGGAAAGACCGGAGCCGAAGCGAAAGCGAGUCUUAAUAGGGCGAAAGUAGGAUGUUGCAGACCCGAAACCGGGUGAUCUAGCCAUGAGCAGGUUGAAGUUGAGGUGAAACUCAAUGGAGGACCGAACCGACUACCGUUGAAAAGUUAGCGGAUGACUUGUGGCUAGGGGAGAAAUUCCAAUCGAACCCGGAGAUAGCUGGUUCUCCCCGAAAUAGCUUUAGGGCUAGCGUCGGAAAGAACCUUAGUGAAGGUAGAGCACUGAAUGUGUGAUGGCCCCAUCCCGGGGUACUGAAUACAAUCAAACUGCGAAUGUCAUUAAGGAUGUCCGGCAGUCAGACUGUGAGUGAUAAGGUCCAUGGUCAAGAGGGAAACAGCCCAGACCGCCAGUUAAGGUCCCAAAAUACAGGCUAAGUGGAAAAGGAUGUGGGGAUGCCCAGACAACUAGGAGGUUGGCUCAGAAGCAGCCAUCCUUUAAAGAGUGCGUAACAGCUCACUAGUCGAGUGACCCUGCGCCGAAAAUGUACCGGGGCUAAGCCUGAUACCGAAACUGCGGAUUGUAGGAAACUAUAGUGGUAGGGGAGCGUUGUAUACGAGUAGAAGCCGUACCGUGAGGAGCGGUGGAUUGUAUAGAAGUGAGAAUGCCGGUGUGAGUAGCGAGAUGUAGGUGAGAAUCCUACACACCGAAAGCCCAAGGAUUCCAGGGGAAGGUUCGUCCGCCCUGGGUAAGUCGGGACCUAACGCGAGGCCGAAAGGCGUAGUGGAUGGAAAGCAGGCGAAAGAUUCCUGCACCCGUAUAUGGAGCGAAGGAGUGACGGAGACGGAUAGUGUGACCCUCUUAAUGGAUUGAGGGCGAAGCGAAGCGGCUGGUUACCAGGCAAAUCCGGUAACCAUAAGGCUAGAGCGUGAGAGGUAAGCGAAAUCUUAGGAAAGUAGCGAAGCACAUGAUGACGGCUUCCAGGAAAAGCUUCUGGCAAUGCAUAUGCGGCCCGUACCAAAACCGACACAGGUGGGCAGGGAGAGAAUCCCGAGGUGAGCGAGAGAACUGUUGCCAAGGAACUCGGCAAAAUGACUCCGUAAGUUAGCGAGAAGGAGUGCUUAAGCAAUUAAGCCGCAGUGAAGAGGCCCAAGCGACUGUUUAACUAAAACACAGCUCUCUGCGAAGUCGCAAGACGAAGUAUAGGGGGUGACACCUGCCCGGUGCUGGAAGGUUAAGAGGAUCUGUUAAGAGCGAUCUGAAGCAGUGAUCCGAAGCCCCAGUGAACGGCGGCCGUAACUAUAACGGUCCUAAGGUAGCGAAAUUCCUUGUCAGGUAAGUUCUGACCCGCACGAAAGGUGUAACGAUUUGGGCGCUGUCUCGGCAGCAGACUCGGUGAAAUCUUAGUACCUGUGAAAAUGCAGGUUACCCGCAACUAGACGGAAAGACCCCAUGGAGCUUUACUGCAGCCUGAUAUUGAAUUCUGGUCAUACAUGUACAGGAUAGGUGGGAGACAAAGAGACGUGCACGCCAGUGUACGAGGAGUCGACGUUGGGAUACCACUCUUGUGUGACCGGGGUUCUAACCUGGUAUCGAGAACAGGUACGGGGAGAGUGUCAGGUGGGCAGUUUGACUGGGGCGGUCGCCUCCCAAAGAGUAACGGAGGC
rnacentral:rRNA from 1 species